GACGAACGCUGGCGGCGUGCCUAAUACAUGCAAGUAGAACGCUGAAGGGGGAGCUUGCUUCUCCGGAUGAGUUGCGAACGGGUGAGUAACGCGUAAGUAACCUGCCUGGUAGCGGGGGAUAACUAUUGGAAACGAUAGCUAAUACCGCAUAAUAGUAGAUGUUGCAUGACAUUUGCUUAAAAGGUGCAAUUGCACCACUACCAGAUGGACCUGCGUUGUAUUAGCUAGUUGGUGGGGUAACGGCUCACCAAGGCGACGAUACAUAGCCGACCUGAGAGGGUGAUCGGCCACACUGGGACUGAGACACGGCCCAGACUCCUACGGGAGGCAGCAGUAGGGAAUCUUCGGCAAUGGACGGAAGUCUGACCGAGCAACGCCGCGUGAGUGAAGAAGGUUUUCGGAUCGUAAAGCUCUGUUGUAAGAGAAGAACGAGUGUGAGAGUGGAAAGUUCACACUGUGACGGUAUCUUACCAGAAAGGGACGGCUAACUACGUG
rnacentral:rRNA from 1 species